UGAACUUUCAAAUCCUCUGUGUUACAUUGCUCAGCCUCUGUGCACCACAGACCUCACCUUCUUAACCACUGCUUGCUGCUUUCGCUUUUUGCGUUACACCCAAAGCCACCAUCAGAUGUCAUGGGGAUGAGACUUCAGAAGUGAAAAAGCACAAAAGCUCUAAUUCAUUCAUUGGGCACUCAUUGGAAGUGAAGAUCGGAAGAUGAACUUCAGUCCCUCAAACAGACUAGGGCACCUAUGUGUGGACUAGCAGAGAGAGAAGAAGAAAGAGGAAGGCAGAGAAAGAAACAUUGAAGAUAAUGAAACAACGAAGAAAUAUUGAGAAGUACUGAUUGGUUGUAUACCAUAUGUGCCUAGACCAGGAAUCAAACUCACAACCUAGGCUAAUCCUGUUGGGCUUUUGAUAUUUCUUCUCAGAGGAUAUAAUUAAUCCUUAACCAAAGGGAUCCUUGAAACAUGGACCUGAUAGUUGGAGGACAAUUGUCCACCCUGCAGAGGCAAAUUUAAUUCACUUGAUCAUGAAGGAGCAAUUUGAAUUCAUUUUGGAUCAAACCAAGGAUAUGUUCAAGCUGGACAUAAUAGAGACAGUUACCAACCUUCAGUAGCAGCUCCAUUUUGUUAGGGGCUAGCCAAGAGAGCAUGUGUGUGGUCCUUGAGAGCGAAUACGAACACUUUUAGUAAAAAGGCAACCUGCAAGUAGCCCCUGGGGAAUGAAGCAACCCUAAAAGACAUUUUCUUCAACACUCAAAGGACCAAUGGGUGCUGAAACAAGAUGGUGCUGGCAACAUGAUGAGAAAUUACAUCCAAUGACGUAGUCCAGUCCCUUCUUUUGAAUAUUCAUGCAUUUUGAAUAUGUCACUCAUCUGCUUUCUGGCCUUCACAGUUUCUAAUGAGAAAUGAGCUCUUUGCCCCCUAAUCCAAGGACACAACAGCAUCAUGAGAACCUUCUCAACAAGUCUUCUGAGUGAAGGUCUGGAACACCAACCCAUGAUAACAAGUUAUGAUUGGUUUAAUCGUAUCCUGACCAUCCCGGACCCCCAUUGUUAGACAUUCACUUGCCCAGCACAGCUCAGAAGAUCCUGGUUAUCCAAAAAGACUUCAGAAAAAGUCUCCUGGGGACACUCCUGUGAAGGCUUCCUUCUUAUUGGUAACGGCAGAAAAGGUACUCUGUCCAGCUUUCACUCAAACCAAAAACUUGAUUGAUAUGGAAAAAGAAAAUGAAGCAUUUCCCGAAGUGUACUCUGUCAACAAAUAUAUUUGAGAAGCACUGUGAUAGAGGGUAAUAGGUUUAUUCUCAGGAUUUUAAAACUAUUUAAUGUGCUUUAAGGAUGUCCAAGAGAAAGCUAAAGAACCAAGAUUUUCCUAAACUUAUGUAAUUCUAAAUUUCCCAUUUGGAGAAUAAUAAUCUGGGUCACAAAAUUAGUCUUCUUCAGAACACCAUUGUGGUAGUAUCUGACAAAGGAGUGAAUUUUGUAGAAUCAAAUAAUAUUCUUAAAAAUCUUGGUGCACCAUUCAUUGAUGCGCACCUAGAAGGCUGCUAACAUCUAAAGAUUUAAGUGUUGAAGUCUUCUGACAGAAAAACAGGUCAACUACUUGGAAGAAUCUACCAAAGUAGAUGUUUUAUUGUUAAGAUUUGCAUUUUCAGGAAUCUUAUUCCUUCACAAUAUUUAGCAGACUCAUUUAAAUAAAAGUUUCAAUAAAGAUACAGAUAGAAAUGUACUGCCUGGAUUCCCCCCCCCCCAUUAGACUCAUUUUGAACUUGAGUUAUUAUGGAAGCUGCUACCGUCCUCGAAGGAAGGAAGGAAGGAAGGAAACAGCUAACAGUCUUUUUUACAAAUAGUUUAUUCUGUUACUAUUUGAAAAGCAUUUAAUUAAAUAACAAAUUUGAACUACACUAGAAAUUUUAGUUAUAACAAUUUACAGUUAUAGAGAUAGGAUUUCAAACUAUAAUUCAUUGACUAUGAGUAAAAGAUAGCAUGCUGCAAAAUUUUAUCUCAUCAUAAAAAGGAUUAAUAUGGCUUACAACUAAAUGUCAAAAUAUAUUUUCAUUACAUAGUCUAAUUUAAUUUCUCAACCACAAGAUGUUGGCCAAAAGGAGUGAUUUACACUUAGCUAAUCAGUUCAGAUUUUCUCUGCUGGCAAUUCUAACAGUAGGCUUUAUACUUUACUGGUAUAACUGUGUAAUGAAAUUCAAUCAAGAAUAUUCUAUUAAAACCUUACUACUCAAAUUGUGA